rnacentral:rRNA from 1 species
CCCUACGGGGUGCACCAGGCUGUAUGUCCAUAACGGCGCGGCCUGGAGCAAUGUGCAGAAUACGACGCAUAAUCAUGAUUCCGUUUAUGCGGCGAUUAACCACAAUCACGACGCCGCGUAUGCGCCGAUAGCGCACAAUUUUGCCUCGGCCGACUAUGGCGAGAACUGGGGCGACAGCUCCGGCAUCACCGCCGCUCUUGGCGCGGCGACGGCGGGCGGGAUCGUGAAGGUCCUGCAGAAUACCAACGCCACCGGUGGCGGCGUCCGGGGGUAUGUGGCCGACGGCAGCGCGGGGAAGUACACGGCAUUGUCGUAGUAACCCUGAUCAAUUGGCGGGGGAGC